UCGAGAAUUUUUCUCAAUGGGGGCAACCCUGAAGGAGCGACGCCGCGUGGAGGAUGAAGGUCUUCGGAUCGUAAACUCCUGUCAUUGGUGAACAAGGCCCACACAGUAACUGGUGUUGGGAUUGAUAGUAGCCGAAGAGGAAGAGACGGCUAACUCUGUGCCAGCAGCCGCGGUAAUACAGAGGUCUCAAGCGUUGUUCGGAUUCAUUGGGCGUAAAGGGUGCGUAGGUGGCGAGGUAAGUCUGGUGUGAAAUCCCGGGGCUCAACCCCGGAACUGCACUGGAUACUGCCCUGCUGGAGUACUGGAGAGGAGAUUGGAAUUUACGGUGUAGCAGUGAAAUGCGUAGAUAUCGUAAGGAAGACCAGUGGCGAAGGCGAAUCUCUGGACAGUUACUGACACUGAGGCACGAAGGCCAGGGGAGCAAACGGG
rnacentral:rRNA from 1 species